GACAGAGGCCUCAAGCGUUAGGCGGAAUCACUGGGCUUAAAGCGUGUGUAGGCGGAUCGUUAAGUGUCUCGUGAAAUCCCACGGCUCACCCGUGGAACGGCUGGGCAUACUGGCGAUCUUGGGCCAACUAGGGGCAACUGGAACAAGCGGUGGAGCGGUGAAAUGCGUAGAUAUCGCUUGGAACGCCAAAGGUGAAAACAGGUUGCUGGGGUUGUGCCGACGCUGAGACACGAAAGCCAGGGGAGCAAACGGG
rnacentral:rRNA from 1 species